CAGCAGCCGCGGGAAUACGUAGGGUGCAAGCGUUAAUCGGAAUUACUGGGCGUAAAGCGUGCGCAGGCGGUUAUAUAAGACAGAUGUGAAAUCCCCGGGCUCAACCUGGGUACUGCAUUUGUGACUGUAUAGCUAGAGUACGGCAGAGGGGGAUGGAAUUCCGCGUGUAGCAGUGAAAUGCGUAGAUAUGCGGAGGAACACCGAUGGCGAAGGCAAUCCCCUGGGCCUGUACUGACGCUCAUGCACGAAAGCGUGGGGAGCAAACAGGAUUAGAUACCCCAGUAGUCCCUGUCUCUUAUAC
rnacentral:rRNA from 1 species